rnacentral:rRNA from 1 species
UCGAGGAUCUUCGGCAAUGGGCGCAAGCCUGACCGAGCGACGCCGCGUGCGCGAUGAAGGCCUUCGGGUUGUAAAGCGCUGUCGAGGGGGAGAAAAGCCGUUAAAAGCUUGAUCGACCCCUGGAGGAAGCACGGGCUAAGUUCGUGCCAGCAGCCGCGGUAAGACGAACCGUGCGAACGUUGUUCGGAAUCACUGGGCUUAAAGGGCGCGUAGGCGGGCCACCAAGUCAGGGGUGAAAUCCCCCGGCUCAACCGGGGAACGGCUUUUGAUACUGGUGGCCUCGAGCGGGGUAGGGGCAUGUGGAACUUCCGGUGGAGCGGUGAAAUGCGUAGAUAUCGGAAGGAACGCCGGUGGCGAAAGCGACGUGCUGGACCCCUUCUGACGCUGAGGCGCGAAAGCCAGGGGAGCAAACGGGAUUAGAUACCCGCGUAGUCC